CUGAGGCUGAUUCACUGAGGAGGGUUCCCCGCAAUGGGCGAGAGAGGAGCAGAAUACUGUUCUAGGCAUGGGGACACACAGCUUCUGCGUACUAUCUAAUCCGGCUGCAGACCAUAAAGGUCCCGACCUUGGGUGAAACUGUUUACUGUCCUCUGUGCAAAGGCACUGGAUCACAUUAACAGAUUUGCCAAGGGAUCCGAGGAAAAGUGUCCAGCCUCCGUCAAAAGCAAUCAUCCUCAGAAGGGCAUGCAUCCUACUUCCCUGAAACACUGUCACUCCCAAUGGAGAAACUGAAAGCCAGAGAAACAAGUAACUCUCUCAAGAUCUCACAGUUACAAACCUGCAUUCCGAGUCUGCAGACAAAUCAUCUCACCGCCUGGCCUAGGACUCCCUCCUGAGUGCUGCCAUGAAAGCAGUGAGAACCUCAAGAUAAGGAUUGCUGUCUCCUCUGUUGGAAGAAAAUCGCUGGUUCUCUUGUCCCUUCCUGACCAGCUGGAAUGUCAUAAACCUCACUAAUGUGAGUUCCCACCACGAGCUUAACGACGACACGGACAGACAUGUCAAAGUAGAUGGGGAAAGCCUACAAGGCCUCAGCUCUACACGAAGAGCCACAGAAGCUAAGGAAUGCUGAGAAGCAGGAGAGACGGUCUUCUCCAGAGAAGAGCACACCAGCUGGUUAUCCAACACCACAUGGUCAGCCCUGAAAACACCCAGACGAAUAACAUUGUGCAGACUGAGCAGGUUAUACGUGAUAUUCAUGAAAUAGCAAUUCAUGGCAAAAGAAGCCAUGAUCUGAAAGAGAGCAGGGAGGGGCAUAUCGGAGCAUGUAGAGGGAGGAAAGGGGAGGGGAAAACUGGAAAAGGAAAAAGGAAAAGAAUUAUUGGGGUGGUUUUCCUGUUAACUGCUUCAGAACAACAGGACACCUGACAAAAACCACUUAGGGAAGUAAGGAGCCUAAUUGGUCUGAGGCUAGAAUCCAGCAUGGUGGGGAAGUCUUGGUGGCAGGAAAGCAAGGCAGCUGGUCACAUUGCAUCCGCAGGGAGGGAGCAGAGAGUGGUCAAUCAGGCCAUCUUCUAAAAGAUAAAACAAAACGAAAAACAAACCCCAUGACUUGCUUGUUUCCUUCCUUCCUCCAUCCCUUCUUCCCUUCUUCUCUUCCUACAUCCCUUCCUUCUUUCCUUCCUUCCUUCCUUCCUUCCUUUCUUUCUUUCUUUCUUUCUUUCUUUCUUUCUUUCUUUCUUUCUUUCUUUCUUUCUUUCUUUCCUUCUUUCAAGUUUUGUGUAUGGGUCCUUUGCCUCCAUGCAUGUCUGUGUACCGUGUGCAUGCCUGAUGCACUCAGAGGCUGGGAGAGGGCAUCAGAUCCCCUGAGACUGGAGUUACAGAUAGUUAUUAACCACCAUGUAGGAGCUGAGAAUCAAACCCAGGUCGUCUGGAAGAGCACCCAGUGCUCUUAACUUCUGAGCCAUCUCUCCAGCCUCUUUCUUUCUUUCUUCCUUUCUUCUUUUCUUCCUUUCUUCCUUUCUUUCUUUCUGUUGGAGCACAUGAAUAGUGGCACCCUAUUUGGGUAAAUCUUCUCAUUUUAGUUAACUCAGUCUAGAUAACCCCUCAUUCAAAGCUUGCCUUCUUCAUGUUUACAAAUUCUGUCACUAUUAGCUGCCACAGCUUCGCAGUUCUGAUGUAAGCAACUGGGAGAGCGAAGCAAGGCUAAGGCUGUGGGGAUGUCAUGCCAGGGGAAGGUCAGGAGUUUCCUUUCAUAGACUGAGCCACCUCAGCAUUCGGCUGGGGAAACCUGAUAGACCUGCACUUGAAGGUUUCUGGGAGAGAAGGCAUCCAGAUCUGGAGCUCACCCAGAAGGCUUGGGCUUGGGGAUGGAAAACCAAGAGUUAGCCUUGGGCUAAGGGAAGCUCUCUCACCCAGCAGGGAGAUGCAGUUGUAUCAGUGACAAGGACCAGAGACCAAGUGCAGGACAUGGGCUGCUCCGCAUCUGGGAGACGAGGUGGCUACAGCUGUGAGACCUGUCGGGGAAGUCGAUGAUGCACAGCAGGGUCAGGUUGAGGGUCCAGCGGAACUUUCCAGCCCUGUGCUCUGUUAGGUGCUUCAAGCACACUUGAAAAGAAGAAAGUAAAUAAAGCUCAAGGAAUGUC